rnacentral:rRNA from 1 species
GACGUAGGGCGCGAGCGUUGUCCGGAUUUAUUGGGCGUAAAGAGCUCGUAGGCGGUUUGUCGCGUCGGAUGUGAAAACCCAGGGCUCAACCCUGGGCCUGCAUUCGAUACGGGCAGACUAGAGUAUGGCAGGGGAGACUGGAAUUCCUGGUGUAGCGGUGAAAUGCGCAGAUAUCAGGAGGAACACCGGUGGCGAAGGCGGGUCUCUGGGCCAAAACUGACGCUGAGGAGCGAAAGCGUGGGGAGCGAACAGG